rnacentral:rRNA from 1 species
GAUGAACGCUAGCUACAGGCUUAACACAUGCAAGUCGAGGGACCGGCGCACGGGUGAGUAACACGUAUCCAACCUGCCCUUUACUCGGGGAUAGCCUUUCGCAAGAAAGAUUAAUACCCGAUAUAAAGGAUGGGGAUGCGUUCCAUUAGGUUGUUGGUGAUGUGACGGCUCACCAAGCCUUCGCUGGAUAGGGGUUCUGAGAGGAAGGUCACCGACAUUGGAACGGAGAAACGGUCCAAACGCAUAGGGGAGGCAGCAGUGAGGAAUAGUGGGCAAUGGGCGCUAGCCUGAACCAGCCAAGUAGCGUGAAGGAUGAAGGCUUAUGGGUCGUAAACUGCUUUUAUAUAAGAAUAUGUAUUAUAUGAAUAAGGAUCGGCUAACUCCGUGCCAGCAGCCGCGGUAAUUC